rnacentral:tRNA from 1 species
UGGGUUGUGGCUCAGCGGUAGAGCGCUCGCCUAGCAUGUGCAAGGCCCUGGGUUUGAUCCUCAGCACCACAU